GGCCUACACUAGGGAAUAUAUAUACAUCACGUUGGUGGGGGAAAAAGGACCAAGCAAAACAACAUGGCUCUUUGGAGCAAAAUCCUUCUUAGGAAUGGAGUUAAAAGUUACCAUAACCACAGAGGAAUCUCUUGGAAAACUGCAGCAAGUAGUGGUUCAGAAGGAGAAGGGGCGUUUGUUUUAUUUUAAUGACAAUUGGUUACCAACAAAAAUAGCAGUCGACACUGACACAAAUGAAACCUACAUCUUCCCCCUGUACACCUGGAUUGCUGACAAUGAGAAACACUACUUCAGAGAGGGUCAAGCUUUUAUACCCUCAAAGGACCCUUUCGACUCAUCCAGUCGACAGGAAGAGCUUGAUAAUCGGCAAGAAGCAUAUCGGUG